UACGUAGGGCGCAAGCGUUGUCCGGAAUUAUUGGGCGUAAAGAGCUCGUAGGUGGCUGGUCGCGUCUGCCGUGAAAGCCCGCAGCUUAACUGCGGGUCUGCGGUGGAUACGGGCCGGCUAGAGGGUAGGUAGGGGCAAGUGGAAUUCCUGGUGUAGCGGUGAAAUGCGGCAGAUAUCAGGAGGAACACCGGUGGCGAAGGCGGCUGCUGGCCUUACCUGACGCUGGAGGAGCGAAAGCGCGGGGAGCGAACAGG
rnacentral:rRNA from 1 species